rnacentral:rRNA from 1 species
CAUUGCGACCAUACCACGUUGAAAGCACCGGUUCUCGUUCGAUCACCGCAGUUAAGCAACGUUGGGCCCGGUCAGAACUUGCAUAUU